GGGUUGUGAGGUUAAGCGACUAAGCGUACACGGUGGAUGCCCUGGCAGUCAGAGGCGAUGAAGGACGUGCUAAUCUGCGAUAAGCGCCGGUAAGGUGAUAUGAACCGUUAUAACCGGCGAUUUCCGAAUGGGGAAACCCAGUGUGUUUCGACACACUAUCAUUAACUGAAUCCAUAGGUUAAUGAGGCGAACCGGGGGAACUGAAACAUCUAAGUACCCCGAGGAAAAGAAAUCAACCGAGAUUCCCCCAGUAGCGGCGAGCGAACGGGGAGGAGCCCAGAGCCUGAAUCAGCAUAUGUGUUAGUGGAAGCGUCUGGAAAGGCGCGCGAUACAGGGUGACAGCCCCGUACACAAAAGCGCAUGUGCUGUGAGCUCGAUGAGUAGGGCGGGACACGUGGUAUCCUGUCUGAAUAUGGGGGGACCAUCCUCCAAGGCUAAAUACUCCUGACUGACCGAUAGUGAACCAGUACCGUGAGGGAAAGGCGAAAAGAACCCCGGCGAGGGGAGUGAAAAAGAACCUGAAACCGUGUACGUACAAGCAGUGGGAGCACCCUUUGGGGUGUGACUGCGUACCUUUUGUAUAAUGGGUCAGCGACUUAUAUUCUGUAGCAAGGUUAACCGAAUAGGGGAGCCGGAGGGAAACCGAGUCUUAAUUGGGCGUUAAGUUGCAGGGUAUAGACCCGAAACCCGGUGAUCUAGCCAUGGGCAGGUUGAAGGUUGGGUAACACUAACUGGAGGACCGAACCGACUAAUGUUGAAAAAUUAGCGGAUGACCUGUGGCUGGGGGUGAAAGGCCAAUCAAACCGGGAGAUAGCUGGUUCUCCCCGAAAGCUAUUUAGGUAGCGCCUCGUGAAUUCAUCUCCGGGGGUAGAGCACUGUUUCGGCUAGGGGGCCAUCCCGGCUUACCAACCCGAUGCAAACUGCGAAUACCGGAGAAUGUUAUCACGGGAGACACACGGCGGGUGCUAACGUCCGUCGUGAAGAGGGAAACAACCCAGACCGCCAGCUAAGGUCCCAAAGUCAUGGUUAAGUGGGAAACGAUGUGGGAAGGCCCAGACAGCCAGGAUGUUGGCUUAGAAGCAGCCAUCAUUUAAAGAAAGCGUAAUAGCUCACUGGUCGAGUCGGCCUGCGCGGAAGAUGUAACGGGGCUAAACCAUGCACCGAAGCUGCGGCAGCGACGCUGAUGCGUUGUUGGGUAGGGGAGCGUUCUGUAAGCCUGCGAAGGUGGCCUGUGAGGGUUGCUGGAGGUAUCAGAAGUGCGAAUGCUGACAUAAGUAACGAUAAAGCGGGUGAAAAGCCCGCUCGCCGGAAGACCAAGGGUUCCUGUCCAACGUUAAUCGGGGCAGGGUGAGUCGACCCCUAAGGCGAGGCCGAAAGGCGUAGUCGAUGGGAAACGGGUUAAUAUUCCCGUACUUGGUGUUACUGCGAAGGGGGGACGGAGAAGGCUAUGUUGGCCGGGCGACGGUUGUCCCGGUUUAAGCGUGUAGGUGUGUGUUCCAGGUAAAUCCGGUUCACUUUAACACUGAGGCGUGAUGACGAGGCACUACGGUGCUGAAGCAACAAAUGCCCUGCUUCCAGGAAAAGCCUCUAAGCAUCAGGUAACAUCAAAUCGUACCCCAAACCGACACAGGUGGUCAGGUAGAGAAUACCAAGGCGCUUGAGAGAACUCGGGUGAAGGAACUAGGCAAAAUGGUGCCGUAACUUCGGGAGAAGGCACGCUGACACGUAGGUGAAGUGAUUUACUCAUGGAGCUGAAGUCAGUCGAAGAUACCAGCUGGCUGCAACUGUUUAUUAAAAACACAGCACUGUGCAAACACGAAAGUGGACGUAUACGGUGUGACGCCUGCCCGGUGCCGGAAGGUUAAUUGAUGGGGUCAGCGCAAGCGAAGCUCCUGAUCGAAGCCCCGGUAAACGGCGGCCGUAACUAUAACGGUCCUAAGGUAGCGAAAUUCCUUGUCGGGUAAGUUCCGACCUGCACGAAUGGCGUAAUGAUGGCCAGGCUGUCUCCACCCGAGACUCAGUGAAAUUGAACUCGCUGUGAAGAUGCAGUGUACCCGCGGCAAGACGGAAAGACCCCGUGAACCUUUACUAUAGCUUGACACUGAACAUUGAGCCUUGAUGUGUAGGAUAGGUGGGAGGCUUUGAAGUGUGGACGCCAGUCUGCAUGGAGCCGGCCUUGAAAUACCACCCUUUAAUGUUUGAUGUUCUAACGUGGACCCGUGAUCCGGGUUGCGGACAGUGUCUGGUGGGUAGUUUGACUGGGGCGGUCUCCUCCUAAAGAGUAACGGAGGAGCACGAAGGUUGGCUAAUCCUGGUCGGACAUCAGGAGGUUAGUGCAAUGGCAUAAGCCAGCUUGACUGCGAGCGUGACGGCGCGAGCAGGUGCGAAAGCAGGUCAUAGUGAUCCGGUGGUUCUGAAUGGAAGGGCCAUCGCUCAACGGAUAAAAGGUACUCCGGGGAUAACAGGCUGAUACCGCCCAAGAGUUCAUAUCGACGGCGGUGUUUGGCACCUCGAUGUCGGCUCAUCACAUCCUGGGGCUGAAGUAGGUCCCAAGGGUAUGGCUGUUCGCCAUUUAAAGUGGUACGCGAGCUGGGUUUAGAACGUCGUGAGACAGUUCGGUCCCUAUCUGCCGUGGGCGCUGGAGAACUGAGGGGGGCUGCUCCUAGUACGAGAGGACCGGAGUGGACGCAUCACUGGUGUUCGGGUUGUCAUGCCAAUGGCACUGCCCGGUAGCUAAAUGCGGAAGAGAUAAGUGCUGAAAGCAUCUAAGCACGAAACUUGCCCCGAGAUGAGUUCUCCCUGAGACUUAGAGUCUCCUGAAGGAACGUUGAAGACGACGACGUUGAUAGGCCGGGUGUGUAAGCGCAGCGAUGCGUUGAGCUAACCGGUACUAAUGAACCGUGAGGCUUAACCUUACAACGCCGAAG
rnacentral:rRNA from 1 species